rnacentral:tRNA from 2 species
GCCGCGAAAGUUUAGGAAAAACGGCCAAUCUUGUAAAUUGGAAAUGGAAGUUAAACUCUUCCUUGCGGCC